rnacentral:tRNA from 1 species
GGGGGCGAGAUUCGUCUGGUGACGGGCCCGGGCUUCAAACCCGGCGAAGGGCGGCUCCGUCGUCCUUGGUGGGUUCGAUCCCCACACGCUCCCGCUCCA